rnacentral:pre_miRNA from 1 species
AGUGUGAUUGCUGAAUCAUAUGGUAAGAAUAUGUCUAGUUUUUAAGAAACUACCAACCUGUUUUCCAAAGUGGCUGUACCACUUUGCAUUCCCACCAGCAAU